AUUUCCCUUAAGGGAGGAAAAGAAACCAACAGGGAUUGCCCCAGUAACGGCGAGUGAAGCGGCAAGAGCUCAAAUUUGAAAGCUGGCUCCUUCGGGGUCCGCAUUGUAAUUUGCAGAGGAUGCUUCGGGAGCGGUCCCCAUCUAAGUGCCCUGGAACGGGACGUCAUAGAGGGUGAGAAUCCCGUAUGGGAUGGGGUGUCCGCGCCCGUGUGAAGCUCCUUCGACGAGUCGAGUUGUUUGGGAAUGCAGCUCUAAAUGGGUGGUAAAUUUCAUCUAAAGCUAAAUAUUGGCCGGAGACCGAUAGCGCACAAGUAGAGUGAUCGAAAGAUGAAAAGCACUUUGAAAAGAGAGUUAAAAAGCACGUGAAAUUGUUGAAAGGGAAGCGCUUGCGACCAGACUCGCUCGCGGGGUUCAGCCGGCAUUCGUGCCGGUGUACUUCCCCGCGGGCGGGCCAGCGUCGGUUUGGGUGGUCGGUCAAAGGCCCUCGGAAGGUAACGCCCCCUCGGGGGCGUCUAUAGCCGAGGGUGCAAUGCGACCUACCCGGACCGAGGAACGCGCUCGGCUCGAUCGCUU
rnacentral:rRNA from 1 species